rnacentral:rRNA from 1 species
UACGUAGGGUGCGAGCGUUGUCCGGAAUUAUUGGGCGUAAAGAGCGCGUAGGCGGUCCGAUAAGUCGGCUGUGAAAGUCCAGGGCUCAACCCUGGAAAGCCGGCCGAUACUGUCGGACUAGAGUCCGGAAGAGGCAAGUGGAAUUCCCGGUGUAGCGGUGAAAUGCGCAGAUAUCGGGAGGAACACCAAUGGCGAAGGCAGCUCGCUGGGACGUUACUGACGCUGAGACGCGAAAGCGUGGGGAGCAAACAGG